rnacentral:rRNA from 1 species
CGGUAAAGAGCGGCGGACGGGUGAGUAACGCGUGGGUAACCUGCCCUGUACACACGGAUAACAUACCGAAAGGUAUGCUAAUACGAGAUAAAAUACUUUUAUCGCAUGGUAGAAGUAUCAAAGCUUUUGCGGUACAGGAUGGACCCGCGUCUGAUUAGCUAGUUGGUAAGGUAACGGCUUACCAAGGCGACGAUCAGUAGCCGACCUGAGAGGGUGAUCGGCCACAUUGGAACUGAGACACGGUCCAAACUCCUACGGGAGGCAGCAG